AAUUCUUUAUAUACACGUUGUCUCCUGGGUUCAGGUCGUGAAGUGAGAAGUCUAGUGGUCCAGCUUGUACUGCAGCUCCGGAUUCAUGUAUGUUUCCUCCCUAACUUCAUCCCGUUCCAUCAAUUGUUGAUAAAUAAGAGUAAUUUCUUUUUUAAUUUGUUCAAUACAAGCAUUUUGGUUCCGAAUUCUUUGAUCAGUGAUAGUAAUCAAUUCUUUAUGUUGCUGAUCAAUAAAUGUGUGCAAUUCUGUAAUUCUCUGAUCAGUUAUAAUAUUCUGUUCCCUAACUUUUUGAGUAAAAAUAUUAUUCUGUUCCUGAAGUUGCUCCCCAAUAAAAGUGUGGAGUUCCCUAAUACGUUGAUCAGUGAUAUUAUAUUGCUCCGUGAUUUGGUUUUCCAUAAAAGUGUGUAAUUCCUUAAUUUGUUUAGCAAUAGAAGGAACAAGGGAGUGUUCUCUCUUAGAGGUUAGGUAUAUCAUUGUAAGUACAACAAUUACAAUCCCAAGGAAGAUGAAUAUAAUGGUCACGAUGAGGUUUAUAGUUUCUGAAAAAUACCAUCCUAGAGGAACACCUACUAAAAAUCCAAUGCACUUGGUCAUUGAACUUAUAAGCCAAUUUCGAAGUAAAGCAGACAUUGGUUGUAGCCACAUUUUUUUCUUUCUUUGAGUCAAUUGCUAGGUUGCCUGUAGCUUUUUUUUUUUUCUAGUCUACAACCCAAUACAGGUUAAGGGCCUAUUGUGUUGUAAAUUCUCCUUAUCAAGCUUCUGGGAGGGGUUACAAAAACCCUCAUACAGGAAGGUAGAAGCUAUGAAAGGGCUGAUUAGGAGUGAAUAGACCGUAAACAAAAGGCCAAACUAAACCUCCUUCUUUUACAAAGUGGGUAUGGGUGGGUCCCAGCAAUCUUCUUUAGUCCUCAGGCUAAAACCGCUAGGACCAUGUGCUAUCUUCCUUGAGCAAAGCCCACUUAAAUUUUUAAGACUAGAAAGGCCAGGAAACAGAAAAAAAUGGGUUUUAAAUUAGCUCCCUAGCUGUAUUCAGCUGGUUUUUUGUUUUUUUUUUGCUUUUUGCGGACUAGGAGCUCCUAAGA
rnacentral:lncRNA from 1 species